rnacentral:rRNA from 1 species
AUGGCUUGCCAUCUACGGUCGGCGAGCACGCCCUCCAGCCCUCGCUCCAACAACACACAAGUCGAGCAGCAGCUCCAGAGCCUCAGCUCAACCGUCUCUUCGCCCUCGGCGACCAUCGAUACCAUGUGCCAUGGUUUGAGGAGGCUGGCAGACAUCUACGGCGGCAUCGAGAAGAUGAUCUGCACACCAAGCAGCCAAGCCAGCCUUUGCCACACCCUGCAAAGGGUGGCAGUGGAGGCAGAGCUCGGACGGUCCCUCGUCGUGCUCGACCUCUGCAACGCCAUGCAGGAGACCUUCAUGGAAUUGAAGAUGACUGUCCAAGAGCUAUUGUUGGUUCUCAAGAGAGGAGAAGAGACGUCGGCUCAAGUCAAGGCGUACGUCAGGCUAGCCAAGAAAGCACAAAAGCAGUUCAAGAAGAUUAGCAAGAAGACUGCUUCCGACAAGAAUGAUUCUAGGAUGGUGAUGCUAAUGGCAGAAGCGAGAGAGAUCACCAUCUCACUGCUCGAAUCCACAUCCUCAAUCUUGUCGAAGCAAAUUGAGGUACCCAAGUGUUCGCUUGUCUCCAAAACAUUGCACAAGAGCAAAGCUGUCUGCGAAGAGGAGCAACUGCGGGCAUUAGAGCGCAGUAUCGGAGAUCUUGAGAGCGGAGUGGAGCUUCUGUACAGGAGAUUGAUCCAGAACAGAGUUUCUCUUCUCAACGCUCUUAGUUUGUAG